GAACUUGUCUGGAAAAGCAAGAACUGCUAAUUACUUGUUUCUAUGGUUCAACUCCGUAGCAAGAUCA
rnacentral:tRNA from 1 species